CUAUUAUAUAGCGCCUUUCACUCUCUCUCUCUCUAAAUCUCCCUACUUAUUGUAUUCAAUGUUGUACGUCUUCUUCUUUCUGUUCUCCUCUCCUUCAUCCCACCAGGAGUUCAUGCGUAUAACGACAGGUCCACUGAUGUCCACAUUCACUGGACAGCCACACCGAUAGCCUGAUGAAGGUUUCAGUGCCAAAGGAGGAUCUGCGAGACAGAAGAUCCACGCCAUCCUGGCACCGGCAGCUUCAAGUGAAGACAGAAACCUUAAACAGGCCGCGUCCACCUCAAUGACGACACGGAGACUCUCGUCAAACAAUCCAUGGCGAGUGGACGUCGGCCGGCUCUCUGUACAUUACGUGUCUGUGACUGUGCAGAUGCCAAGUUAGAGAUCACACAAACAACGCUGGGCAUCUAUCUGUAUCAUUUGUGCAGCGGGCACCAGUCAGAAGAGGUGCCCACAGAUGUUGGCAUUGCACUUGGAGGCUCUACAAAACGUCCGCCGUGUCCGCAUACCUUUGGAUGUCUGAUGCUGUUUGCACUUAACUUAAACUCUCCUAAGGACCGGGGGCCUCAUGUCUAAACGUUAUGUACUCCCGCGUCCACACUCAAAUCACGACGUGUAAAACCUAAAUGUGGCAUAAAGCCGCGCACUUCUCCACCGUAGCUCAUACCCUGGCGUACUCAAGUUCUCUGCUUGGUUUUGGAGA